CCUACGGGUGGCUGCAGUGAGGAAUAUUGGUCAAUGGGCGGAAGCCUGAACCAGCGAAGUAGCGUGCAGGAUGACGGCCCUACGGGUUGUAAACUGCUUUUAUACGGGAAUAACGCGCCUUACAUGUAGGGCUUUGCAUGUACCGUAUGAAUAAGGACCGGCUAAUUCCGUGCCAGCAGCCGCGGUAAUACGGAAGGUCAGGGCGUUACCCGGAUUUAGUGGGUUUAAAGGGAGCGUAGGCCGCAUGUCAAGCGUGCUGUGAAAGGUCCGGGCUCAACCCGGGCCUUGCAGCGCGGACUAGCGUGCUUGAGUCCGCGGAAGGCAGGCGGAAUUCGUCGUGUAGCGGUGAAAUGCUUAGAUAUGACGAAGAACCCCGAUUGCGAAGGCAGCUUGCUGCAGCGGAACUGACGCUGAUGCUCGAAAGCGCGGGUAUCGAACAGGAUUAGAUACCCUGGUAGUC
rnacentral:rRNA from 1 species